GUUGAUAUGAUUCUUUUUGUGGUUUUUGUUGUAGGUUUUAAGUGAUCCUCAAAAGAGAGCCAUAUACGAUCAAUAUGCUGAAGAAGGUUUCAAAGGACAAGUGCCACCCCCUGAUGCAGCAGGGGGAUUCCCUGGUAGUGGUGCUACUUUCUUUCAAACUGGGGAUGGUCCAAUGUUGGACACAAGAGAGAGGUCAUUCUUGAAAAACUACUGAUACAGAUUACAGGAAAAGAAAGAGCUGAUCUUAAGGUGAAGAGAGCAGUGAUAAUUAUAGCUAUUCUGAUUGGAUUAACUUGUGGGAUGAUUUUAAUUGGAUUUUACAUUUGCA